rnacentral:rRNA from 1 species
AGUGAACGCUGGCGGUAGGCCUAACACAUGCAAGUCGAACGGCAGCACAGUAAGAGCUUGCUCUUACGGGAGGCGAGUGGUGGACGGGUGAGGAAUACAUCGGAACCUACUUUUUCGUGGGGGAUAACGGAGGGAAACUUACGCUAAUACCGCAUACGACCUACGGGUGAAUGCAGGGGAUCUUCGGACCUUGCGCGAUUGAAUGAGUCGAUGUCGGAUUAGCUAGUUGGCGGGGUAAAGGCCCACCAAGGCGACGAUCCGUAGCUGGUCUGAGAGGAUGAUCGGCCACACUGGAACUGAGACACGGUCCAGACUCCUACGGGAGGCAGCAGUGGGGAAUAUUGGACAAUGGGCGCAAGCCUGAUCCAGCCAUACCGCGUGGGUGAAGAAGGCCUUCGGGUUGUAAAGCCCUUUUGUUGGGAAAGAAAAGCAGCAGGUUAAUACCCCGCUGUUCUGACGGUACCCAAAGAAUAAGCACCGGCUAACUUCGUG